rnacentral:rRNA from 1 species
GCCUUACACAUGCAAGUCGAACGAGAAAGUUCCUUCGGGAACUAGUAAAGUGGCGAACGGGUGAGUAACACGUGAGUAAUCUGCCCUUGAAACCGGAAUAACCUCGCGAAAGCGGAGCUAAUACCGGAUGAUAUCUUUGAUUCUUAAGUGUUGAAGAUCAAAGGUGACCUCUUCACAAUGUUGCCGUUCAAGGAUGAGCUCGCGGCCCAUUAGCUUGUUGGUGGGGUAAAAGCCUACCAAGGCCACGAUGGGUAGCCGGCCUGAGAGGGUGAACGGCCACACUGGAACUGAGACACGGUCCAGACUCCUACGGG